UUGAUGGGUGCGGCAAACCAACAUGGCUCAUGUAUACCUAUGUAUCAAACUUGCAUAUUGUGCACUUUUACCCUAGAGCUUAAAGUAUAAUAAUAAAAAAGAAACAACCCAAAUGUCCAUCAAAAACAGAAUGGAUAAAUGGAUUGUAGUAUAUUAGUAUAAUGGAAUACAGAACAAUAAAAACUGAAAGAACCAUAUCUAUAAGUUCUUUAGUUUUUGACAUGGACAAUUCCCACAAAUAAUGUAUUAAAGGAUUAAGCCACAGAGUAAUACAGUAUUAUUCCAUAUACGUAAAGUUCAAAACCAGGCUAAACUAAAUCAUUCUGGAUGCAUGUGUAGACAGUAAAACUAUGUCGUUAUUAUCAUGAAACUCAGGAAGGUGGUGAUACAGAGGGGAGGGAAGCGGAUGUGAUGAGGGAGGAGGGUGUGAUCAGUAGGGAAACACGGCCUCCAGCGAUGACAAUAUUCCAGUUAUUAAACUGGGUGAUGGGUUGUACUGCUGUUCUUUAUAAUUCAAUACACAUUUUAAAUGUUCUUUUGUAUUUAUUCAAUAGGUAAUGAAACUUAUUAAAACCACAUAUCAAAAAAAAAAAGAAAAAAGAAAAGCCGGGCAGGCAUUCCGUAGGUGGUGAAAUGGGGGAUGCAAAUAAUAGGCUGAGGAAUUAGCAGGUGCCAAGAAUGUGGCAGGAAGACAAAGGGCAUGGUUUGUGUGGUGCCCCUGGGGUGGGUUUCUAUGGUUUCCUGUGAGCCACGUGGUAGUGAGAUAGGACGGACCCUUAUGCCACAUUUAGGAGUUUGAACUUGAGAUUAUGGUCUGGAAAGCCAUGCAUGGUUUUUAAACAAACGUCUCAUAUGAGUGCAUUGGGGCUUUAGAAAGAUAACCCGGCUCAGUAUUUGGUAUGAAAAGAGGCUGGGGAGCUGGCGCGUAGGCCACCACCAUGGGCCAGGGACUGCUGAAAGCAGAGGGAUUGUCUGCAAUAGAGAAGUGGGGGCUGGAAUUGCCAGGCAGUGACUGCUCACAUAGGGACAGAGCACAGGAGGGCCCAGUCCCGAGGCGCCUAGCUGUUAUAAAUUCAUACUCAGGGUGGGUCGUGAACCACUGGAAUUUUAAAUGAGGAGUCAGGCUGGAAUGGGGAAUAUGACUUGUUCCAUUUGAGAUGCGUGGAACACACCAUACCAGGUGAACCUGUAACAAAGACAGCCAAGGAUGUUUGUAAACAGUUAGGGACGGGGAUGAGUAGACUGUCUAGAGCCAGAGACCUGGAGCCAUCAGCAUCCCGAUUCCGAGAGGUUCCAUGAGAAUGGAUGAAACUACACAGAACAUCUAGUGGAGGCACAAGGGAAGAAAUCCACCUAUUUCUGUGGAAUUUCCAAUAUCUGGAGGUAGUAAAAGGAAGAGACAGAGGAGGGCGAGGGGAGAGCGCGCGCGCGAAACGGAGACUGAGACCCAGCCAUCAGGGUGUGCUGGGAGAACUGGGGAGACGAGUCUGCCCCUGCGAGUGGACCCAGGGAAGAGGGCGCGGUCUACGCAGAGCCCGAGGCAGGGAAGCGGGAGGGGCCCGGAGAGCAGCCCUGGGUGAGGCCCUUUGGAAUGGAGAGGUCUCAGGAGUGAAGCAGCAGCCAGAGGACUGAGAGUGUCUGGAAAGUGAGGAAUUGGUUAAAGUAACGCCGGUGGCUGCAACAGAGAGGGGCGUAGGUGAAGAAGCACCCCCAACCCCAUCCCAUUUGAGAGGAAGCAGACAAUGAAGAAGAGAAUAUGAAAGAUACAGAAAGAUGAAGGCAGGGGUGGAAAGAACGGAGGGGGGGGACAGGAAGGGAAGGAGAAGGUGCAACCAAUAGGCUGUAAGCACAGGGGCAAGCUUGGGCGCCAGGGGAGCAGGGACUCGGCGCCUCCCCGAUCUGCCCCAGGCGCCACGGAAAUUCCAGGCCCCGCCACCCGCACUCCCGGAGCCUCCUCCGCAGCGGCGGCUCCUCCCACUCGCCCUCCCGGGGCUCCCGCCCAAGCUUCCGGCGCUUCCAAACUCACUGCUCGCGUCACCCCCCGCUCCCAUCCGGCAGCAAAUCACAGCGCAGCAAAUCGCAAGCCUAGAAACAGACGCUCCCUCUCCAGGGGCAGCUUCCUAUUCAGGGCGGGUCUGGGCGCACCUGUUCUCGGGACCCGGCCCUCGGCCUUCGCCGGGUCUCGCGGUGGGGCUUGGGACCCCGGCUGGUGCCAGGGCGACCCCCACAGCCCCGCGACUCUCUUUCCCGGCCGCCUCCCGCCGUCAUUCUCCUAGUUCCUGCCCGCCUUUGCCUCGCUCUGAUUCCUGCUCUGGCCUUCCUCCCUUCCCCUCUCUCACGCACUCCAGGGAAGAGGUGGCCUCCGCGGGAACCUGGGCACCUCCGUGCCUGCCCCGCCCGGUACCUGGCAGAGGCCCCCACCUCCUGCUGCUGCUGCUGCUGCCGCCGCCGCCGCCGCCGCUGCUGCUUUGACUAUUCCUCCUUUGUAGAUGCUUCACGUCCGCCUUGAUUGAGGGCAAGGCUUCCGGCAGAUGACUCAGAACCGUUCGAUUGCUCUGGCUUGUGCAAUCCCUGAUUCUUUGGGCCUGUGUGGAUGUCUGUGGGCACCGGAGAGAGGGCCAGUGCCUGGUCCUUGGAGGGUGGUUUUUAUAAAAAGUGUACACAUUGGCUAUUGUCCUUUUUUCACCGUUGAUUCACGUUUGACUCCACUGUAGUUAGACGUCCACCCAAACAUUCUCUGAAAUUGCUCCUGAUAAGGAUACUAAUCAUUUUCUAAUUGCCUUGGCCAAAAAAUACAUCCCAGGUCUUAUUUCAUUUUGUUUGUUGGCGACAUUUAGCCCUUUCUUCUUUGACCUUCCCAGGAUUUCCAGAGCACCCUUCCCUUCUUUCCUGACUCCUUUGCUUGGUAUCCUGAUUCCUUUCCUACCAUUCUAAGCCCUCUUCUUUUCAUUAUAAUAUGAUCUUCUUGUAUGACCUCCACUAUAUCCAUAGGUUCAUGUUUCAACUUUUAACUUAUUUCUUCAAAAUCUCUAACCUGUCUCGAGCCGUAGAUGUUACCUGUGUACUACUGGACAUCUCUCAGAAACCUGGGUGUGUCCCUCCGCAGUUCUUUUAACUAAAUGAUCAACAGUCCUGUUACUUCUAUCACUUUUGUGUUCCUCCUGUCCAUACUCUGUCACCUCUAUCAUGUCUCAUGUCUCUCCUAAACAAUUAAUUUUCCUACCUACAGUUCUGAUCCAUGCCAACCUAUUGCCUACUCUGAAGUUCAGGUCCCUCUGGCUGCAACAUGGAGUAUAUUGUAGGAGGGUACCAUUGCCUGCAGUGAGGCGUUAAGGACGCAGCAUGGAUGAGAGAUGAGGAAAGCUGAAAUGAAACAGAGGCAGGAGAAAUGGAGAGGAGGACAUGGCCUUGAGGAAUUUCCAGGACAUAAAUUUGGCAUCACUUCUUGGACCAUGAGAGGAAGAGGGAGCAGGAAGAAUCAAAGAUGAAUCCAAGAAUGAACAAAUCUAAUUUUUGAAAUAAUGCAAUGAAAAGUAGAACUGGUCUGUUUUCCUAGGAGAGGAUGGUGAAAUAGAGGUAGUUUGUGUGAUUUGCCCAGAGUCCCAUGAAGAAUUCACAGAAGAAUUGAGACUACAGUCAGUAUGGCCACAUUCCCAGAGAACUGCUUUUUCUGCCAUACCCUGUGGUAAUAAUAUUGUCACAAGACAAUUGGACAGUGUUUCACAUAUUCAGUGAUGGAAGAAGAGUUUAAUUGAAAUAAAUAAAUGUCAGGAAAAAUUAAUUCGAUUGUGAUAACACUUAAGGAAUGGAGUGUUCACUCUCUAGGAGAAGUUGGGCUAAAUGAUGAAAUGGAGUGUCCGUGUAUGUGAUCUGUGGUGCUGUUUUGCUGUAGUUAAUUCCUAUUUUUAACUUGAAAUGUGUUCUGACUGCGUUAGUGCCAAUUUUUUUGAGACCGGUGUACCUAUCCUAUCAGGUACAUUCGAUUUACACAAGUACAUUCUCUUUUCAGUUCUCCCACCACUUCUCUUUAUUCAAACAAUUAAAACCUUCUUGAAUAUUA
rnacentral:lncRNA from 1 species